rnacentral:rRNA from 1 species
UGGGGAAUAUUGGACAAUGGGGGAAACCCUGAUCCAGCGACGCCGCGUGUGUGAAGAAGGCCUGCGGGUUGUAAAGCACUUUUAGUGGGGACAAAAAGCUACGGAUUAACACUCUGUGGUCUUGAUUUAACCCAAAGAAAAAGCACCGGCUAACUCUGUGCCAGCAGCCGCGGUAAUACAGAGGGUGCGAGCGUUAAUCGGAAUUACUGGGCGUAAAGCGCGCGUAGACGGUUUUGUAAGUCAGAUGUGAAAUCCCUGGGCUCAACCUGGGAACUGCAUUUGGAACUGCAUGGCUAGAGUAUCGAAGAGGGAAGUGGAAUUUCCGGUGUAGCGGUGAAAUGCGUAGAUAUCGGAAGGAACACCAGUGGCGAAAGCGACUUCCUGGUCGAAUACUGACGUUCAUGUGCGAAAGCGUGGGGAGCAAACAGGAUUAGAUACCCUGGUAGUCCACGCCAUAAACGAUGACAACUAGAUGUUGGGAGGGUCUGCCUCUCGGUGUCGCAGCUAACGCGUUAAGUUGUCCGCCUGGGGAGUACGGCCGCAAGGUUG